AGAGUUUGAUCCUGGCUCAGGACGAACGCUUGCGGCGUGCCUAAGAAAUGCAAGUCGAACGGAAAGGUCCUUCGGGACACUCGAGUGGCGAACGGUCGCGUAACACGUAAGCAACCUGCCUCAAAGUGGGGGACAACAGCCCGAAAGGGCUGCUAAUACCGCAUGUGGCCAACGGGGGGCAUCCCCUGGUGUCUAAAGGAUUUAUUCGCUUUGAGAUGGGCUUGCGGCCUAUCAGGUAGUUGGUGGGGUAAUGGCCUACCAAGCCUUCGACGGGUAGCUGGUCUGAAAGGACGAUCAGCCGGAUUGGGACUGAAAAUACGGCCCAGACUCCUACCGGGGGGAGCAAUUAGGAAUCUUGCACAAUGGGCGAAAACCUGAUGCAGCGACCCCCCGUGAAGGAAGAAAGAUCUCCGUCUGUAAACUUCUUUUUAGUGGGGAGAAAAUUUGACGGGACCCCUUUAAUAAACCCCCGGUAACUACGUGGCCCCACCCGCGGUUAUACGUAUGGGGCGAGCGUUGUCCCAAGUUUCUGGGCGUAAAGCGCGCGGUAGCGGUUAAUUUAUUCUGUGGGGGGAGGGUCCGCGCUCCACGCGCACAUUGCCCUGGGUACUGGGUGGACUUGAGUCUGGGAGGGGGUAUUGGAAUUCCUGGUGGAGCGGGGAAAUGCGUAAUAUCAAGAGGAACAACGGUGGGCGAAGCGACUACUUGGCUAAGACUUGAUGCCUGAGUGUCGGAAGCGUGGGAGCGGACGCGGAUAGAUACCCCCGGUAGUCACGCAGUAAACGAUGAGUGCUAGUUGUUCGGGGUAUCGACCCCCCCGGGGUGCCGUCGAUAACGCAUUAAGCACUCCGCGGGGGGAGUACGGCCGCAAGGUUGAAACUCAAAAGGAAUUGACGGGGGCCCGCACAAGCGGUGGAGCAUGUGGAUUAUUUCGUCACUAACCGAAGAACCUUACCCAGGUUUGACAUCUGUAGACCGUGCUGAAAGGGCGGGGGUGCUUUCGGGAGCUACAAGACAGGUGUUGCAUGGCUGUCGUCAGCUCGUGUCGUGAGAUGUUGGGUUAAGUCCCGCAACGAGCGCAACCCUCACCGUAUGUUGCCAGCGUAAAGUCGGGAACUCUUACGGAACUGCCCGUGCAAGCGGGAGGAAGGUGGGGAUGACGUCAAGUCGGCAUGGCCCUUACGCCUGGGGCUUCACACAUGCUACAAUGGGUGGCAACAAAGGGCAGCAAAACCGCGAGGUCAAGCGAAUCCCAAAAAUCCAUCCUCAGUUCGGAUUGUAGGCUGCAACUCGCCUGCAUGAAGCCGGAAUCGCUAGUAACCGCAGGUCAGCUAAACUGCGGUGAAUACGUUCCCGGGCCUUGUACACACCGCCCGUCAAGUCACCUGAAUUGUCUGCACCCGAAGCCGGUGGCCUAACCGCAAGGAAGGAGCCGUCUAAGGUGUGGGGAGUAAGGGGGACUAAGUCGUAACAAGGUAACC
rnacentral:rRNA from 1 species